rnacentral:rRNA from 1 species
AGUGAACGCUGGCGGCAGGCCUAAUACAUGCAAGUCGAACGGCAGCACAGCAGAGCUUGCUCUGUGGGUGGCGAGUGGCGGACGGGUGAGGAAUACAUGGGAAUCUGCCCAGUCGUGGGGGAUAACGUAUGGAAACGUACGCUAAUACCGCAUGCGCCCUAAGGGGGAAAGCCGGGGACCGCAAGGCCUGGCGCGAUUGGAUGAGCCCAUGUUCGAUUAGCUAGUUGGCGGGGUAAAGGCCCACCAAGGCGACGAUCGAUAGCUGGUCUGAGAGGAUGAUCAGCCACACUGGAACUGAGACACGGUCCAGACUCCUACGGGAGGCAGCAGUAGGGAAUAUUGGACAAUGGGGGCAACCCUGAUCCAGCCAUGCCGCGUGAGUGAAGAAGGCCCUCGGGUUGUAAAGCUCUUUUGUCCGGAAAGAAAGCAAUCGGUUAAUACCCGGUUGUUCUGACGGUACCGGAAGAAUAAGCACCGGCUAACUUCGUGCCAGC